AGCCUCGAUCCCAGGCCGAGUUUUCGCUUUUAUAACGGUUAGGCGAACAACUGGGCCUGGUACUAGUUGUCUGCGCAUGCGUCAGUCGUUUGUCAGAUUCUGACGAAUGGAUAUUCUCGUUCACUUUCGUGACAUUUAUAUUCGUGUACUAUCGUGUACUAGAAGUCAGUUCCCGUUUUAUCAUUAUUGGAAUCGAUUGGAAUGGCUCUUAGCUGAAGCUUCUCUCUUCUAUGAAGCUUAUUCUGAAGACUGAACAACAAGGGAAGAGGUAUAAAGCUUUGUCAAGCUUGUUAAGGUCAGAUAUUUUUGUGUGGGCCCUAUGGCCGGCUAUGCUAUCAAGUCUUGUUCAUGUUUGGCAAGAAUGUAGGUAGACUAUAGUUUCAUCAUUAAUAUGGUGGAUCAAGUGAAGAGUGUGAGCUAGAGAACUUGGUGCUGCCAUCAUCAGCUCGUCGACAAUGACACUAUAACCGAGAAAUUUAAUAUGUAUAGAUCUACACGUAUUUAAAAUGUCUACUUCUCUGUACAGGAGCAAUGGCUAAUAUCCAGCUAUCCCAACAGUGCUCCUCUUGGCUAUACUAACGGACGAGACUGGACAGUUUGAGACACAGGACUGGAGUAUGACCUGCUCAUUCGAGCGUUGCUGGGUAGCUCAGAGACAUCAAGAGAAUCUACGUUUUCUCAAGCAAUGAGUUACGAGUUGGGGCCUGGAAUCAGAGAAGUCCAGCAGCCUGCUAAAUCUUUUUGAAACGUAAUUUGAAGGCAUUCAAUCAUCCUGAAGUUGCCCUGGGUCACUGUAAUUGUGCUGCAGCACAACUGGCAACUCCCCAGGCCUUUGUGAAGCAGCUCCCUAUGUGCAUCUUUUGUGUACUCACUCUGUGCAUUUUCUGUGUACAAAUUUCGAUUAUUGAUUUAUUAAAUA